CCGGGCUGCGUGCGCUGACAAGCAUCUCCGGGGCUCUCAGGUGUGCGCACUUUUCAGGCUCCGCGGCUGAAACUCCGCUGGCAGCCCAGGCAGCGCCCACCUGCUCUCAACCAGCCAGCGUCUCCCUCGGCCCGCGUAAAUUCAAGGCCCCAGAUCCUGCCCGCUCCAGAUACUGCAAACGCUGACUGCGCCAACAGAAACUCAGAGGCCCUUUUCAUCUGGUUCAAGAGAAGCUCAACAGAAAGUGAAACAGCUCCCAUCCCUUGGGGGAGAAGGCUCCAGGCCAGGUCCCAGGAGAGCGAAUGGCAUGAAGGAGGACAGCCCGGCUCACAAGGCUCAGGAGCCUAGCAAACACUGGCUUCCUAUGACGAUGGAGAAGAUGGAAAUCAAAAUCAGAAACAAAAGCGGCAGGGAGAGUGUGGAGCGAGUGCGGAAGGAGAGAGAGGCUGGUGUUGGGAGGUAAAGAAAGAAGAAUGGUGCCACCCAAGGAGGGCCUGGAUGAAUAGACUCAGGCAAGCACAAGAGCAGAACCGGCCUUGAGAAAGGUGGAAAUCACCUGGCCUGUGAGGCCAGGAUUCACUGUAAAGCUAAACAGAAAAAAAUCUACCAUAGCCCUGUA